UACGUAGGGUGCGAGCGUUAAUCGGAAUUACUGGGCGUAAAGCGUGCGCAGGCGGAUUGUUAAGCAAGAUGUGAAAUCCCCGGGCUUAACCUGGGAAUGGCAUUUUGAACUGGCAGUCUAGAGUGCGUCAGAGGGGGGUGGAAUUCCACGUGUAGCAGUGAAAUGCGUAGAGAUGUGGAGGAACACCGAUGGCGAAGGCAGCCCCCUGGGAUGACACUGACGCUCAUGUACGAAAGCGUGGGGAGCAAACAGG
rnacentral:rRNA from 1 species